rnacentral:rRNA from 1 species
UGGGGAAUCUUGCACAAUGGGGGAAGCCCUGAUGCAGCGACGCCGCGUGAACGAUGAAGCCCUUCGGGGUGUAAAGUUCUUUCGACGGGGACGAUAAUGACGGUACCCGGAGAAGAAGCUGCGGCUAACUACGUGCCAGCAGCCGCGGUAAUACGUAGGCAGCAAGCGUUGUUCGGAAUUACUGGGCGUAAAGAGUGCGUAGGUGGUUGGCCAAGUUUGGUGUGAAAUCUCCCGGCUUAACUGGGAGGGUGCGCCGAAAACUGGUUGACUAGAGUGUGGGAGAGGGACGUGGAAUUCCUGGUGUAGCGGUGAAAUGCGUAGAUAUCAGGAGGAACACCGGCGGUGUAGACGGCUUGCUAGACCAUAACUGACGCUGAGGCACGAAAGCGUGGGUAGCAAACA